AGCGUACACGGUGGAUGCCCUGGCAGUCAGAGGCGAUGAAGGACGUGCUAAUCUGCGAUAAGCGUCGGUAAGGUGAUAUGAACCGUUAUAACCGGCGAUUUCCGAAUGGGGAAACCCAGUGUGAUUCGUCACACUAUCAUUAACUGAAUCCAUAGGUUAAUGAGGCGAACCGGGGGAACUGAAACAUCUAAGUACCCCGAGGAAAAGAAAUCAACCGAGAUUCCCCCAGUAGCGGCGAGCGAACGGGGAGCAGCCCAGAGCCUGAAUCAGUGUGUGUGUUAGUGGAAGCGUCUGGAAAGGCGCGCGAUACAGGGUGACAGCCCCGUACACAAAAAUGCACAUACUGUGAGCUCGAUGAGUAGGGCGGGACACGUGGUAUCCUGUCUGAAUAUGGGGGGACCAUCCUCCAAGGCUAAAUACUCCUGACUGACCGAUAGUGAACCAGUACCGUGAGGGAAAGGCGAAAAGAACCCCGGCGAGGGGAGUGAAAAAGAACCUGAAACCGUGUACGUACAAGCAGUGGGAGCACGCUUAGGCGUGUGACUGCGUACCUUUUGUAUAAUGGGUCAGCGACUUAUAUUCUGUAGCAAGGUUAACCGAAUAGGGGAGCCGAAGGGAAACCGAGUCUUAACUGGGCGUUAAGUUGCAGGGUAUAGACCCGAAACCCGGUGAUCUAGCCAUGGGCAGGUUGAAGGUUGGGUAACACUAACUGGAGGACCGAACCGACUAAUGUUGAAAAAUUAGCGGAUGACUUGUGGCUGGGGGUGAAAGGCCAAUCAAACCGGGAGAUAGCUGGUUCUCCCCGAAAGCUAUUUAGGUAGCGCCUCGUGAAUUCAUCUCCGGGGGUAGAGCACUGUUUCGGCAAGGGGGUCAUCCCGACUUACCAACCCGAUGCAAACUGCGAAUACCGGAGAAUGUUAUCACGGGAGACACACGGCGGGUGCUAACGUCCGUCGUGAAGAGGGAAACAACCCAGACCGCCAGCUAAGGUCCCAAAGUCAUGGUUAAGUGGGAAACGAUGUGGGAAGGCCCAGACAGCCAGGAUGUUGGCUUAGAAGCAGCCAUCAUUUAAAGAAAGCGUAAUAGCUCACUGGUCGAGUCGGCCUGCGCGGAAGAUGUAACGGGGCUAAACCAUGCACCGAAGCUGCGGCAGCGACGCUGAUGCGUUGUUGGGUAGGGGAGCGUUCUGUAAGCCUGCGAAGGUGUGCUGUGAGGCAUGCUGGAGGUAUCAGAAGUGCGAAUGCUGACAUAAGUAACGAUAAAGCGGGUGAAAAGCCCGCUCGCCGGAAGACCAAGGGUUCCUGUCCAACGUUAAUCGGGGCAGGGUGAGUCGACCCCUAAGGCGAGGCCGAAAGGCGUAGUCGAUGGGAAACAGGUUAAUAUUCCUGUACUUGGUGUUACUGCGAAGGGGGGACGGAGAAGGCUAUGUUGGCCGGGCGACGGUUGUCCCGGUUUAAGCGUGUAGGCUGGUUUUCCAGGCAAAUCCGGAAAAUCAAGGCUGAGGCGUGAUGACGAGGCACUACGGUGCUGAAGCAACAAAUGCCCUGCUUCCAGGAAAAGCCUCUAAGCAUCAGGUAACAUCAAAUCGUACCCCAAACCGACACAGGUGGUCAGGUAGAGAAUACCAAGGCGCUUGAGAGAACUCGGGUGAAGGAACUAGGCAAAAUGGUGCCGUAACUUCGGGAGAAGGCACGCUGAUAUGUAGGUGAAGUCCCUCGCGGAUGGAGCUGAAAUCAGUCGAAGAUACCAGCUGGCUGCAACUGUUUAUUAAAAACACAGCACUGUGCAAACACGAAAGUGGACGUAUACGGUGUGACGCCUGCCCGGUGCCGGAAGGUUAAUUGAUGGGGUCAGCGCAAGCGAAGCUCUUGAUCGAAGCCCCGGUAAACGGCGGCCGUAACUAUAACGGUCCUAAGGUAGCGAAAUUCCUUGUCGGGUAAGUUCCGACCUGCACGAAUGGCGUAAUGAUGGCCAGGCUGUCUCCACCCGAGACUCAGUGAAAUUGAACUCGCUGUGAAGAUGCAGUGUACCCGCGGCAAGACGGAAAGACCCCGUGAACCUUUACUAUAGCUUGACACUGAACAUUGAGCCUUGAUGUGUAGGAUAGGUGGGAGGCUUUGAAGUGUGGACGCCAGUCUGCAUGGAGCCGACCUUGAAAUACCACCCUUUAAUGUUUGAUGUUCUAACGUGGACCCGUAAUCCGGGUUGCGGACAGUGUCUGGUGGGUAGUUUGACUGGGGCGGUCUCCUCCUAAAGAGUAACGGAGGAGCACGAAGGUUGGCUAAUCCUGGUCGGACAUCAGGAGGUUAGUGCAAUGGCAUAAGCCAGCUUGACUGCGAGCGUGACGGCGCGAGCAGGUGCGAAAGCAGGUCAUAGUGAUCCGGUGGUUCUGAAUGGAAGGGCCAUCGCUCAACGGAUAAAAGGUACUCCGGGGAUAACAGGCUGAUACCGCCCAAGAGUUCAUAUCGACGGCGGUGUUUGGCACCUCGAUGUCGGCUCAUCACAUCCUGGGGCUGAAGUAGGUCCCAAGGGUAUGGCUGUUCGCCAUUUAAAGUGGUACGCGAGCUGGGUUUAGAACGUCGUGAGACAGUUCGGUCCCUAUCUGCCGUGGGCGCUGGAGAACUGAGGGGGGCUGCUCCUAGUACGAGAGGACCGGAGUGGACGCAUCACUGGUGUUCGGGUUGUCAUGCCAAUGGCACUGCCCGGUAGCUAAAUGCGGAAGAGAUAAGUGCUGAAAGCAUCUAAGCACGAAACUUGCCCCGAGAUGAGUUCUCCCUGACUCCUUGA
rnacentral:rRNA from 1 species